rnacentral:misc_RNA from 1 species
GAAGUUUUCUCAUUCCACUCGUCAAAAGAGGAGAACAGUGGAUAAGGCUUUGCUUGAGGCUCCCAUGGAUGAGAUUGACUAUUCAAAGGUGCCUAUUAAGGAUCUAAUUUUAUUAGCUGAGCACAGAGAGCGGUUGGCGAAAAAAGAUGCAGCAGUGUCACAGAUGCCUCCUACUACUACAGAUCAGAGUGCUGGUGCAUCUGUUUCUAAUUAUGAUGAGGAUGAGACCUAUGCUUCAGAUGAAGAUGGGGAAGCUGAUGAUCAUAAUAAAAGUACUAUGGGUGAAGAUACUUCUUCCUACUUCAAUUAUCAGACUUACAUGGACAAGACCCCCAGCACAAGGUGGUCAAAACAGGACACAGAACUUUUCUAUGAGGCUGUGCAGCAGUUUGGGACAGAUUUAUCCCUUAUACAACAACUUUUUCCUGGCCGGACACGUAGACAGCUAAAGCUAAAAUACAAGAAAGAAGAGCGGCAAAAUCCAUUUAGGCUUCAUGAUGUUCUAACAAAUCGUUCGAAAGAUCAUUCCCACUUCGAACGAGUAAUCGAGCAUUUAAAGCAAAUUGAAGCUGAGGAAUUGCAGUACGCUGAUAAAGACGAGUCAAUUGACUUGACUGGGG